UUCGCCCUUAGAGUUUGAUCCUGGCUCAGAGCGAACGCUGGCGGCAGGCUUAACACAUGCAAGUCGAACGGGCUUCUUCGGAAGUCAGUGGCAGACGGGUGAGUAACACGUGGGAACGUGCCCUUCGGUUCGGAAUAACUCAGGGAAACUUGAGCUAAUACCGGAUACGCCCUUAUGGGGAAAGGUUUACUGCCGAAGGAUCGGCCCGCGUCUGAUUAGCUUGUUGGUGGGGUAACGGCCUACCAAGGCGACGAUCAGUGGCUGGUCUGAGAGGAUGAUCAGCCACACUGGGACUGAGACACGGCCCAGACUCCUACGGGAGGCAGCAGAAGGG
rnacentral:rRNA from 1 species